AGACAUUCAACUAAGCUUGGAGCUGUGCUUGUGACUUUGUUUCUUCUUCGCCUUGAUCACUUUUCCCUGUCUUUCCAGGACUACAGCAUGAAGGAAUUUUCCGGGUGUCGGGAUCCCAGGUGGAAGUGAAUGACAUCAAAAACGCCUUUGAGAGAGGAGAGGACCCCCUGGCUGGGGACCAGAAUGACCAUGACAUGGACUCCAUUGCUGGCGUCCUGAAGCUUUACUUCCGGGGGCUGGAACAUCCUCUCUUCCCCAAGGACAUCUUCCAUGACCUGAUGGCCUGCGUCACAAUGGACAACCUGCAGGAGAGAGCUCUGCACAUCCGGAAAGUUCUCCUGGUCCUGCCCAAAACCACUCUGAUUAUCAUGAGAUACCUCUUUGCCUUCCUCAAUCAGUGAGUAGACUUCCCAGUGAGCAGUGGAUCAGGCCUGGGCUUCGGCCCCUGGAAGCUUUAUCCGUAGAGCCGUGUCAGUUCAUCGAGCCCUGUGAAAUCUGUGGAGCGGCGACAGUGUGCAGGGGCACAGUUGUAGGCUGUGAGAAUACAUUGCGAAACGAGACAAAAGCCCUGAUACUGUUUAACUCACAUUCCAGGCUGGGAGACAGACAGAUAACAGAUAUGUCAGGCGGGAAUAAGUGCUUAGGUGAAGACUAAGGAAGUGUAAGUUAAGAGCCAGAGUGCGGGGGGCCCGAAUGGGGGCAGGGGUGAAAGAGGGAGAGCUGCUAGAGAGGGGUGGUCAGCAAAGGACUCUCUGAGGAGACGCAGCGACCUAAAUGGAGUGACAGAAGGAGCUACAAGCGAUGUUCACGGCCAUCAAGCCCCGAGAGUCAUGGUAAUAAUGGGUUUGGAUUUGGGAAGCCACUGGAAGCUUUGAAGCAGAAGAGUGGUAAGAUCUGAUCUAUGUGUAUUCUUGGAAGCCUGCCGACAGCUUUGAGGAGAAGUUAUCGGGGACUAUGAAGAGAAGCAGGGACACCACGCAGAGGUGACUGUGAGGUCUCAGC